rnacentral:rRNA from 1 species
GAUGAACGCUGGCGGCGUGCCUAAUACAUGCAAGUCGAGCGAACGGACGAGAAGCUUGCUUUUCUGAUGUUAGCGGCGGACGGGUGAGUAACACGUGGAUAACCUACCUAUAAGACUGGGAUAACUUCGGGAAACCGGAGCUAAUACCGGAUAAUAUUUUGAACCGCAUGGUUCAAAAGUGAAAGACGGUCUUGCUGUCACUUAUAGAUGGAUCCGCGCUGCAUUAGCUAGUUGGUAAGGUAACGGCUUACCAAGGCAACGAUGCAUAGCCGACCUGAGAGGGGGAUCGGCCACACUGGAACUGAGAAACGGUCCAGAAUCCUACGGGAGGCAGCAGUAGGGAAUCUUCCGCAAUGGGCGAAAGCCUGACGGAGCAACGCCGCGGGAGUGAUGAAGGUCUUCGGAUCGUAAAACUCUGUUAUUAGGGAAGAACAAAUGUGUAAGUAACUGUGCACAUCUUGACGGUACCUAAUCAGAAAGCCACGGCUAACUACGUG